rnacentral:rRNA from 1 species
GGGUUGUGAGGUUAAGCGACUAAGCGUACACGGUGGAUGCCCUGGCAGUCAGAGGCGAUGAAGGACGUGCUAAUCUGCGAAAAGCGUCGGUAAGGUGAUAUGAACCGUUAUAGCCGGCGAUGUCCGAAUGGGGAAACCCAGUGCAAUUCGUUGCACUAUCGUUAACUGAAUACAUAGGUUAACGAGGCGAACCGGGGGAA